GAAAUACUAGAACUUGAGACAUACAAGGCAUUUAUCGUGUUAUACGGCUUGGCUCUUCAAAUUUACUUCACGAAGGCGUCCAGGAUUUUUGAUAUGCUUCACUUUUAUUUUAUUUUUAUUUUAUUUUAUUUUUUAUUUUCUUGAACUUUAACACAUAUUUCCUCGGUACACACCACCUCUUUUGUUGAUGUAGAGCUUAACCUUCAUCUUUGUCCUCAUGUGCUAUGGCAUAUCCCAAGUUAUAGGGUAUUGCUAAAAAUAGGGUAAAAAAGGUAAGGAAAUAUUGUGGGUGAUGAAAGAAAAGGCUAAGUGUUUGGCUUCAACGGGUUGAUGGCACACACAAUAGGUAGGACAUGAGGCUUUAUUUAGAGGUUAGAACAUGCAUAGCCUAACAUCAUCUCUCAAGG
rnacentral:lncRNA from 1 species